CAGCAGCCACGGUAAUACGUAGGUGGCAAGCGUUGUCCGGAAUUAUUGGGCGUAAAGGGCUCGCAGGCGGUUUCUUAAGUCUGAUGUGAAAGCCCCCGGCUCAACCGGGGAGGGUCAUUGGAAACUGGGAAACUUGAGUGCAGAAGAGGAGAGUGGAAUUCCACGUGUAGCGGUGAAAUGCGUAGAGAUGUGGAGGAACACCAGUGGCGAAGGCGACUCUCUGGUCUGUAACUGACGCUGAGGAGCGAAAGCGUGGGGAGCGAACAGGAUUAGAUACUCCCGUAGUCCCUGUCUCUUAUAC
rnacentral:rRNA from 1 species